GAUGAACGCUGGCGGCGUGCCUAAUACAUGCAAGUCGAGCGAACAGACGAGGAGCUUGCUCCUCUGACGUUAGCGGCGGACGGGUGAGUAACACGUGGAUAACCUACCUAUAAGACUGGGAUAACUUCGGGAAACCGGAGCUAAUACCGGAUAAUAUAUUGAACCGCAUGGUUCAAUAGUGAAAGACGGUUUUGCUGUCACUUAUAGAUGGAUCCGCGCCGCAUUAGCUAGUUGGUAAGGUAACGGCUUACCAAGGCAACGAUGCGUAGCCGACCUGAGAGGGUGAUCGGCCACACUGGAACUGAGACACGGUCCAGGCUCCUACGGGAGGCAGCAGUAGGGAAUCUUCCGCAAGGGGCGAAAGCCUGACGGAGCAACGCCGCGUGAGUGAUGAAGGUCUUCGGAUCGUAAAACUCUGUUAUUAGGGAAGAACAAAUGUGUAAGUAACUAUGCACGUCUUGACGGUACCUAAUCAGAAAGCCACGGCUAACUACGUG
rnacentral:rRNA from 1 species